UACGUAGGGACCGAGCGUUGUCCGGAAUCAUUGGGCGUAAAGAGCGUGUAGGCGGCUAUUUAAGUCCUGCGUGAAGUCCUGCGGCUCAACCGCAGACGGUCGUGGGAAACUGGAUGGCUAGAGUGCGGGAGAGGAGAGUGGAAUUCCCGGUGUAGCGGUGAAAUGCGCAGAUAUCGGGAAGAACACCCGUGGCGAAGGCGGCUCUCUGGAACGCAACUGACGCUGAGACGCGAAAGCGUGGGGAGCAAACAGG
rnacentral:rRNA from 1 species